rnacentral:rRNA from 1 species
GUGCCAGCAGCCGCGGUAAUACAGAGGGUGCGAGCGUUAAUCGGAGUUACUGGGUGUAAAGGGCGCGUAGGCGGCAGGAUGUGAGCGAUGUGAAAGCCCCGGGCUUAACCUGGGAAGUGCAUUGCAGACUAUCCAGCUAGAGUACAUGAGAGGGUGGCGGAAUUUCCGGUGUAGCGGUGAAAUGCGUAGAGAUCGGAAGGAACGUCAAUGGCGAAGGCAGCCACCUGGCAUGAUACUGACGCUGAGGCGCGAAAGCGUGGGGAGCGAACAGGAUUAGAUACCCUUGUAGUCC